rnacentral:misc_RNA from 1 species
AAGUCGUAACAAGGUUUCCGUAGGUGAACCUGCGGAAGGAUCAUUAACACGUGAUACUCACGUAUUAAUCCACCGAGAAUUUGUUAUUAACCUAUUGUUGAUUGUAAACAGGCUCUGUUGAAGGAAUGCUAUUGGUCGCCUUUCGAAAGAUUGUACACCAUAAUUCACUGAGUCGUUCAAUGGUCCGCCCAUGAGUUAUUCAGCCUGUAGCAUAGCUUGCAGCUCGUAGUGAACUUAUUAACCCCUUUACUAUUAUUUACUGAUUUUGUAUGUUUAUAUGAAUUCCUGACUCGUAAGGGUUGGUUGAGUUUGUAUAGAUGUCGUAUAUUUACUAAUACGAAACAACUCUUAGCAACGGAUAUCUUGGUUCUC